rnacentral:rRNA from 1 species
UACGUAGGGCGCAAGCGUUGUCCGGAUUCACUGGGUGUAAAGGGUGCGCAGGCGGGGAAGUAAGUUAGAGGUGAAAUCUCACAGCUCAACUGUGAAACUGCCUUUGAUACUGCUUUUCUUGAGUUAGGGAGAGGUUGAUGGAAUUCCAGGUGUAGCGGUGAAAUGCGUAGAUAUCUGGAAGAACACCGGUGGCGAAGGCGGUCAACUGGCCCUAAACUGACGCUCAGGCACGAAAGCGUGGGGAGCGAACAGG